CAAAACUCAGGAGGAUUGUGCUAUGAUAAACAAGGCUAACCUGCUGAUUCUCUGAAGCAAGGAACUGGAGAUGGUCCUUCUAAGGGUUUAUAUUCUGGAUUCCAGGAAACAUGCAAACAGGACCCAUAAAUGCAUCUUUAUUUUGGUGCCCAUUUUGACCUGGUCAGGAGAAUUCCAACAAAAAAUCCACGGUGUUGGAGCAAGAUCUCAGGCUCUCAGGCUGUGGCCAUCUAGAGAUUCCAUUUUGGAUGCUCCCAUCGGGACUGUGUGUCCCUGUGCUGGAACUCGAGUGAACACUUGGCUCAAAAUCCAUUGCUGUUCUCUAGAAAUCCUGCCCUAUUCUCUUGGUGAAAUAUAAGGU
rnacentral:lncRNA from 1 species